UAGCUAGUUGGUGAGGUAAAGGCUUACCAAGGCGACGAUCUGUAGCGGGUCUGAGAGGAUGAUCCGCCACACUGGAACUGAGACACGGUCCAGACUCCUACGGGAGGCAGCAGUGGGGAAUUUUGGACAAUGGGGGCAACCCUGAUCCAGCCAUGCCGCGUGAGUGAAGAAGGCCUUCGGGUUGUAAAGCUCUUUCGGCCGGGAAGAAAUCGCAUGGGCCAAUACCCUGUGUGGAUGACGGUACCGGAAUAAGAAGCACCGGCUAACUACGUGCCAGCAGCCGCGGUAAUACGUAGGGUGCGAGCGUUAAUCGGAAUUACUGGGCGUAAAGCGUGCGCAGGCGGUUUUGUAAGACAGGCGUGAAAUCCCCGGGCUUAACCUGGGAACUGCGUUUGUGACUGCAAGGCUAGAGUACGGCAGAGGGGGGUGGAAUUCCACGUGUAGCAGUGAAAUGCGUAGAGAUGUGGAGGAACACCAAUGGCGAAGGCAGCCCCCUGGGUCGAUACUGACGCUCAUGCACGAAAGCGUGGGUAGCAAACAGGAUUAGAUACCCUGGUAGUCCACGCCCUAAACUAUGUCAACUAGGUGUUGGGUGGGUAAAACCAUUUAGUACCGUAGCUAACGCGUGAAGUUGACCGCCUGGGGAGUACGGCCGCAAGGUUAAAACUCAAAGGAAUUGACGGGGACCCGCACAAGCGGUGAUGAUGUGGAUUAAUUCGAUGCAACGCGAAAAACCUUACCUACCCUUGACAUGCCAGGAACUUGCCAGAGAUGGCUUGGUGCCCGAAAGGGAGCCUGGACACAGGUGCCGCAUGGCUGUCGUCAGCUCGUGUCGUGAGAUGUUGGGUUAAGUCCCGCAACGAGCGCAACCCUUGUCGUUAAUUGCCAUCAUUUAGUUGGGCACUUUAACGAGACUGCCGGUGACAAACCGGAGGAAGGUGGGGAUGACGUCAAGUCCUCAUGGCCCUUAUGGGUAGGGCUUCACACGUCAUACAAUGGUCGGUACAAAGGGUUGCCAAGCCGCGAGGCGGAGCCAAUCCCAGAAAGCCGAUCGUAGUCCGGAUUGCAGGCUGCAACUCGCCUGCAUGAAGUCGGAAUCGCUAGUAAUCGUGGAUCAGCAUGUCACGGUGAAUACGUUCCCGGGUCUUGUACACACCGCCCGUCACACCAUGGGAGCGGGUUCCGCCAGAAGUAGGUAGCCUAACCGCAAGGGGGGCGCUUACCACGGCGGGGUUCGUGACUGGGGUGAAGUCGGAACAAGGUAGCCGUAGGGGAACCUGCGGCUG
rnacentral:rRNA from 1 species